rnacentral:rRNA from 1 species
GAUGAACGCUAGCGGCAGGCUUAACACAUGCAAGUCGAGGGGUAUAGUUCUUCGGAACUAGAGACCGGCGCACGGGUGCGUAACGCGUAUGCAAUCUACCUUUUGCAGAGGGAUAGCCCCAGAGAAAUUUGGAUUAAUACCUCAUAGUAUAGCAGUUUCGCAUGAAACCACUAUUAAAGUCACAACGGCAAAAGAUGAGCAUGCGUCCCAUUAGCUAGUUGGUAAGGUAACGGCUUACCAAGGCAACGAUGGGUAGGGGUCCUGAGAGGGAGAUCCCCCACACUGGUACUGAGACACGGACCAGACUCCUACGGGAGGCAGCAGUGAGGAAUAUUGGACAAUGGGCGCAAGCCUGAUCCAGCCAUGCGCGUGCAGGAUGACGGUCCUAUGGAUUGUAAACUGCUUUUAUACAGGAAGAAACACUCCGACGUGUCGGAGCUUGACGGUACUGUAAGAAUAAGGAUCGGG